GAUGAAGAACGCAGCGAAAUGCGAUAAGUAAUGUGAAUUGCAGAAUUCAGUGAAUCAUCGAAUCUUUGAACGCACAUUGCGCCCGCCAGUAUCCUGGCGGGCAUGCCUGUUCGAGCGUCAUUACAACCCUCAGGCCCCCGGGCCUGGCGUUGGGGAUCGGCGGAAGCCCCCUGCGGGCACAACGCCGUCCCCCAAAUACAGUGGCGGUCCCGCCGCAGCUUCCAUUGCGUAGUAGCUAACACCUCGCAACUGGAGAGCGGCGCGGCCACGCCGUAAAACACCCAACUUCUGAAUGUUGACCUCGAAUCAGGUAGGAAUACCCGCUGAACUUAAGCAUAUCAAUAAGCGGAGGA
rnacentral:misc_RNA from 1 species